AGAGCAUCUUCCAGAGGAGGAUCUCCAAGUACUUCUGACACAUGAAUGGAUUAAUCCUCUUAAAAAAGCCUGUGAGGUGGAAGGACAGUAGCUACAACUGGAAUCCUGAGGGCAAGUAUGACGAUCCACUCAUAGCUAGGGAAUCCUCAGGCUUCUCGUUACGACACAAGAAUUUUCCUUGAUAGAAGCAGAAGAAUGCAACAGCUUUACAAGAAAAGUUAUGUGCGUUUUCAGUACAGGAAAGACAACAUGUCAUUAUGAAAAGAAAAUAAUACCUUUUCCUAUUGAGGCUGCAACGGGAAUUUCAGAGAGGCAGAAUGUCAUCAUCAGUGCUGAAGUUUGGCCAGGACAUCAAAGCCAGCAAAUUCUUGUGAACACCACUAUGACAUUUUUAAUAACCACAAGUAGUCAGAACUUUGGGGUCUGGUACAAACUGAAAGACCGAACUUCCAACAACACGGCAUUCACUUUUUCCAUGCUAGGACGGUCACUCAGGACUGAUCUGGAGAGAAGGGCACUGCCUUCUAAGCCAACACUGCCACUUCCAGCAGCAUAUGGAUUUUAAUUCAUGGUUCCCGAGCAAGAAUUGA